UGUUCUGUGGCUUAGUUGGUUAAAGCGCUGGACUACGAUACGGAGUCGGGGGAUCGAAUCCUACCAAAACAA
rnacentral:tRNA from 1 species